GUCCCCCGCUCCUCCUACCACAGGUCUCUCUUCCGCUUCGUUUCGCUUCUUCUUAUUCUACUUCUUCGCUACUCGCUAGAAUCAAUUUGUUGGUAGAACCGCACGACACUGGUGGUAGUCGUAGUCGUCGUAGUCGUCGUCGUAGUAGUAAUAGUAGUGGUAAUAGGAGUAGGUUGCUACGACAUCUUUGUUUUAUUAGAUUUAUUGAGGGAUAUCGAUUGCACGAGUAGUGUUCUUCUCUCCCUUCGUUCAUCAGGUCUGGUUAGCUUUUCAUUUUGCCAGUGAGAAGACUCUCGCUCUCCCUCUCUCUCGUGGCCUUCCACAUUUGACAUUUCUCUCUCUCUCUCUUUCCUUGUUGGAUUAGUAGUCUAGUGCUCAUAUCUCGUCUCGUCGCUUGAACUUCGUGCUGUGCAUAGUCUGGCUUGGAUUGUUACUGUUGUAAGGUCCUUUUUAGGCUGUUUUGAGUUCGUGAGCCUUGGAGGUGUGCUCCGCUUUUAUUCUUAGCUACGUUGGUGUUUUGGAGGCAGGUCAGGUGUGAAAUUGAGAAGAAUUAUGAUAACCAUCCUACGAAUCCCUCGCAUGUAGUCCUUUGACUACUCGCUCGCAGUGUUGGUUGGGAGUACUUUGGAAGGUAGCUUGUUUUCAAAUCUGUGAGCGACGAUGAGGUGGCUACGGAAGGUAUCGACCCCUUUCAGACGGGUGUGGAAAGCUAUUUUCGCCAAGCUGCGUCCUCGCAAGCAUAAGCGAGGAAGCGGCAUGGGAAAGUUGUACAAUGAUGUGCUUUCUUGUGGGUAUGACGAUGUGCACACCAUGUGGACCAUCCUUCAUGAGACACAUGCACCCGUGGACUCUCCAAAGAAGCAUCGGCCAACUGUGAGCUUCGGUUGAGAUUCUCAGCAGGGACAUGGGAUGUACGCCCGAACUCUGCAUCAUAAAUGAUGACAACAGUCUGCAUGUUUUUGAUGCUACUAUGUCUUCCUGUGAAUAGGUGCCAGGAGAAGCCUGCCCUUGGAGAGUAAGACUAGAUUGUAAAUGUUUUUCCGGGGGCUUGUGAUAUCUGCCGUCUUUUUCUUUUCUUUUUUUUUUUUUUUUUGCUAUGUUUGGGGAGAGCUACUCCUUGUCGGGAAAAAUGUGCAGGCUGUUGCAGUCAAGCACCCCGUAAUGCUUUCUGAUGAAGUCAGUCUUCUUUGGAAGCCAUUCGGUAGCCAGAGCAUAGACCCAUCGUCUGAUGUCCUGUGCUUGAAACGCUUUGACUAGCAGGGUAUGCCGAGACGUAUUCAGUCCUUUUUUUUCUUUCUUUUUUUCCUUCCUUUUUUCAGGGUAUACGAGGAGACCCUGUGUAAUUUUAAAAAUCCAUCUGUAAAGUAAAGACACUACGUACGCUGGCUCUGCCGGUGUUACAAAUCGCUGCCCAUCUUUUCAA